rnacentral:siRNA from 1 species
CUCGACCUUGCCUAAUCACUCGA